rnacentral:rRNA from 1 species
GACGAACCGUGCGAACGUUGUUCGGAUUCACUGGGCUUAAAGGGCGCGUAGGCGGGCGGUCAAGUCAGGGGUGAAAUCUUUCAGCUCAACUGGAAAAGUGCCUCUGAUACUGAUCGUCUUGAGGGAGGUAGGGGCAUGUGGAACUUCCGGUGGAGCGGUGAAAUGCGUAGAUAUCGGAAGGAACGCCGGUGGCGAAAGCGACGUGCUGGACCUCUUCUGACGCUGAGGCGCGAAAGCUAGGGGAGCAAACGGG